AGAGUUUGAUCCUGGCUCAGGACGAACGCUGGCGGCGUGCCUAACACAUGCAAGUCGAGCGGAGGUAUGGAGUAGUUUACUACAAAGUACUUUAGCGGCGGACGUAACACGUGGGCAACCUGCCUCGAAGUGGGGGAUAACACCGAGAAAUCGGUGCUAAUACCGCAUAACAUACAGACAUCACCUGAUGACUGUAUCAAAGGAGAAAUCCGCUUUGAGAUGGGCCCGCGGCUGAUUAGCUAGUUGGUGAGGUAAUGGCUCACCAAGGCGACGAUCAGUAGCCGACCUGAGAGGGUGACCGGCCACACUGGAACUGAGACACGGUCCAGACUCCUACGGGAGGCAGCAGUGGGGAAUAUUGCGCAAUGGGGGAAACCCUGACGCAGCAACGCCGCGUGGAGGAAGAAGGUCUUCGGAUUGUAAACUCCUGUCUUCUGGGACGAUAAUGACGGUACCAGAGGAGGAAGCCACGGCUAACUACGUGCCAGCAGCCGCGGUAAUACGUAGGUGGCGAGCGUUGUCCGGAAUUACUGGGCGUAAAGGGCGCGUAGGCGGCUCUUUAAGUCAGAUGUGAAAACCCAGGGCUUAACCUUGGGAGUGCAUUUGAAACUGGAAGACUUGAGUGCAGGAGAGGUAAGUGGAAUUCCUAGUGUAGCGGUGAAAUGCGUAGAUAUUAGGAGGAACACCAGUGGCGAAGGCGACUUACUGGACUGUAACUGACGCUGAGGCGCGAAAGCGUGGGGAGCAAACAGGAUUAGAUACCCUGGUAGUCCACGCUGUAAACGAUGAGUGCUAGGUGUAGGGGGUAUCGACCCCUUCUGUGCCGGAGUUAACACAAUAAGUAUCCCACCUGGGGAGUACGGCCGCAAGGUUGAAACUCAAAGGAAUUGACGGGGGCCCGCACAAGCAGUGGAGCAUGUGGUUUAAUUCGAAGCAACGCGAAGAACCUUACCUAGACUUGACAUCUCCUGAAUAGCCUAGAGAUAGGUGAAGCCCUUCGGGGCACAUAUACAGGUGGUGCAUGGUUGUCGUCAGCUCGUGUCGUGAGAUGUUGGGUUAAGUCCCGCAACGAGCGCAACCCUUAUUGUUAGUUGCUACCAUUUAGUUGAGCACUCUAGCGAGACUGCCCGGGUUAACCGGGAGGAAGGUGGGGAUGACGUCAAAUCAUCAUGCCCCUUAUGUCUAGGGCUACACACGUGCUACAAUGGCUGGUACAGAGAGAUGCAAUACCGCGAGGUGGAGCCAAACUUCAAAACCAGUCUCAGUUCGGAUUGUAGGCUGAAACUCGCCUACAUGAAGCUGGAGUUGCUAGUAAUCGCGAAUCAGAAUGUCGCGGUGAAUACGUUCCCGGGCCUUGUACACACCGCCCGUCACACCAUGAGAGUUGGCAAUACCCAAAGUUCGUGAGCUAACCGCAAGGAGGCAGCGACCUAAGGUAGGGUCAGCGAUUGGGGUGAAGUCGUAACAAGGUAACC
rnacentral:rRNA from 1 species